GUGGGGAAUCUUCCGCAAUGGACGAAAGUCUGACGGAGCAACGCCGCGUGAGUGAUGACGGUCUUCGGAUUGUAAAGCUCUGUUAAUCGGGACGAAAGAGCUCUGUGUGAAUAAUGCAGAGAAGUGACGGUACCGGAAUAGAAAGCCACGGCUAACUACGUGCCAGCAGCCGCGGUAAUACGUAGGUGGCAAGCGUUGUCCGGAAUUAUUGGGCGUAAAGCGCGCGCAGGCGGGUUUUUAAGUCUGUCUUAAAAGUUCGGGGCUUAACCCCGUGAGGGGAUGGAAACUGGAAACCUAGAGUAUCGGAGAGGAAAGCGGAAUUCCUAGUGUAGCGGUGAAAUGCGUAGAUAUUAGGAAGAACACCAGUGGCGAAGGCGGCAUUCUGGACGAAAACUGACGCUGAGGCGCGAAAGCCAGGGGAGCAAACGGGAUUAGAAACCCUAGUAGUCC
rnacentral:rRNA from 1 species